GUCGAGAAUCUUCCGCAAUGCGCGAAAGCGUGACGGAGCGACACCGCGUGAUGGAUGAAGUCCUUCGGGGCGUAAACAUCUUUUAUAAAGGAGGAAAUUUUUGACGUUACUUUAUGAAUAAGGGGCUCCCAAUCUCGUGCCAGCAGGAGCGGUAAUACGAGAGCCUCAAGCGUUAUCCGGAAUCAUUGGGCGUAAAGGGUGCGUAGGUGGUUUGAUUAGUCUCCCGUUAAAACUUCGAGCUUAACUCGAAAAGAGCGGGGGAAACGGUCAAACUAGUGUAUGUGAGAGGUGUGUGGAACUCAUGGUGUAGGGGUGAAAUCCGUUGAUAUCAUGGGGAACACCAAAAGCGAAGGCAGCACACUGGCACAUCACUGACACUGAGGCACGAAACCUAAGGUAGCGAAUGGGAUUAGAUACCCCAGUAGUCC
rnacentral:rRNA from 1 species